GCGGAGUUGCUGGAAUUGGCAGACAGGCAUGAUUCAGGUUCAUGUGUUCGUACGAACGUGAGAGUUCAAGUCUCUUACUCCGCA
rnacentral:tRNA from 1 species